rnacentral:rRNA from 1 species
UAAUACGAAGGGUGCAAGCGUUAAUCGGAAUUACUGGGCGUAAAGCGUGCGUAGGCGGUUGGCUAAGUCAGAUGUGAAAGCCCUGGGCUCAACCUGGGAAUGGCAUUUGAAACUGGCCGGCUAGAGUGUGAUAGAGGAUGGCGGAAUUCCCGGUGUAGCGGUGAAAUGCGUAGAGAUCGGGAGGAACAUCCGUGGCGAAGGCGGCCAUCUGGAUCAACACUGACGCUGAGGCACGAAAGCGUGGGGAGCAAACAGGAUUAGAUACCCUGGUAGUCCACGCCCUAAACGAUGCGAACUGGAUGUUGGGCUCAACUCGGAGCUCAGUGUCGAAGCUAACGCGUUAAGUUCGCCGCCUGGGGAGUACGGUCGCAAGACUG